AUAUAUUUUUAAGUAAGAGAGCUGUCAUAAAGUGGGACAGAUGUUGAGAAGAUCAGGUGCGAGCAAAACCAUCCCCUCCAGUCUGCUCUCCCUCUCCGUAUCCACAAGACCUGUGUGUGCAGAAGGAGAUGACGAAGACACCUUAUGUCAAGAAGAUGCCCAGAAAGCUGGGUUGGAUGGAGGCUGACUCAGCCUAUGCCAGGGGACCCAAAUCAAGUCUCCUGGUGAGGACCAGUGGGAGGGCCUCUUCUACAUCACUUCUCAUGGAGCAGAUGUAUAUUUGCACGUGUCUUGUUGGUUUUCGGGUUGGUCCUGACAAAGCAUUGAUACUAAAGAGACAGGAGAAAUAACAGGAGGUUCUGAGGUUCAUCUCCAGCCCCUCCAGCACCCUGCCUACAUUCAGCACCUGAUAGCUAUGGCCCAAAGCAAACUCUGAGCUGUGCUCUUCUCUUAUUCAGAGCUGCUGAGAGUCUCAGCCCAAACUCUUGUUCUUCUCACAUAGUUUCAGAGAAGGGAGGCAAAGGUCCUACUCUGCUUUUCUGGAGCUUCUAGCCCUUUGCCUUCUGGUUAUCCUUCCCCCAGGGCUCAGCCCAUACAUGUGGUGGUCUGGUGUAUGGACAGGGCAGAAAGAGGGGCCUGGAUGGUCCACGUUGGAUCCCUUCCUCCUGGAAAAAAUUCAAAACAACUUCAUAAGCAUUUUAGUGUCAGUUGGAGAGAUUCUCUCCAGCCAUAAACCCUGGCACGGUCCAUAAUUACACACGGUCUGCCCACUCUGCAAAAUUGAUACUUACAUGGUCCGCUGGGCCCCGUGUCCCUGAGUCGCUGUCAAAAUGCAGAUCAGCCNNNNNNNNNNNNNNNNNNNNNNNNNNNNNNNNNNNNNNNNNNNNNNNNNNNNNNNNNNNNNNNNNNNNNNNNNNNNNNNNNNNNNNNNNNNNNNNNNNNNCUUCCUUCCUUCCUUCCUUCCUUCCUUCCUUCCUUCCUUCCUUCCUUUUCUUCUUUUUCCUUCACUUUUUUAUGACAGCAUCUCCUUAAAGUCAGACUCCACAGGGUCCAAAAGACGUACUGCAAUGGGAAAUAAAGUGGGUUCAGGAGCCUGGCUGGGAGAAGUCUUUUCCUGCAUGUUAGGAAGAUUUUGGGGUGGACUGAGACGCCACCACGUUGCUCAGAUGUGCCCAGGUGGCUGCAAGUCUUGGUGGGAAAAGAUGGCAUCUCGUCAGGUCAUUGCUUGCGCUGAGACAUUUCAUCACCAGGCCGUUUUGGCUCCACGCUGUGUUAGUGCUAGCCUGGAACCGGGAUUUACUGCUUCCUCACACCCGGCCACAAACAGAAGCGCUGCUGAAACGCCGCUGCAAAAAGGGGUCAGCGACAGAGUGCUACCAAAAGGAAGCAGCGAGGGAAUUUCUCCCCCUGCUCAGGUUGCAUCUUAGGGUUUGCUCCGUGCUUGGGCCAUAUGUGACCCGUGCCCCAGGGGGAUGGGGGGGACAUCAAAGGGCAGCCUCAGGCGGGGAUGAGCUCACUCGCCUGUGCUUGACCCCUGCUGCAAGGCAGGGGGUGGCAGCUCCGUGUCCACACAUCCCUGCAACGGCUGGGGGGGGUUUGGGGCAGGGAACCCCCUGCCUGCAGCUGCCUGGGCUUUGUGAGAACCUGAUCUGCCUUCCCUUGAGCCUGUGGCUUGCUCUCAGUAAUGCCACUUGGUCCUGCACGGCAGCAGCUCGCAUCAGGGAUGGGGCCAGCGGCUCUGCUGGACGUCCCCGCGUGGAGCUUUGGUGCCCCUGGCUCCAGCAGAUACGAACAGGCUCUGUGGAUCCCCUCAUCUCCUGGAUCUCCAGGAGAGCAGGGACGUGCCAAGCCAUAUGGCUAAUUUGUACAGGUCCUGUCACAAACGAGCACUGAGCUCUGUAAUUGCCAGAGCCGGCCGCAGGAUGAGUGCUGACUGCACCGCCGCUCUCAGGCUUUGCUGUUUGUUUGCUUUCUGAGCAAAACCAAACCUUCGGGUGCUGUCCUGAAGACGUGUGGGUGUGCUGGGCAAAUUCAAAUCCUCUCUGCUUGAAUUAUUUCCCACCUUGAACACGAUGGUGCCCCAUACCCUAACGCACCUGCAGUGCCUCUCUCUCCCCUGUGUCCUCACCUCUCCGGGCUGAGGAAUCCAGCCUGGCGUCUCCCAGGGCUUCCCAGCUCCUCCUGGCUGCCGAGGCAGUGUUGGUUCAGCUCCAAGGCACGGGGAGGUUUUGCCAGCACGCACCCCGUGCUGAGGACCCACCAGGCACACCACAGCAGCCACCUGUUCUCAGGCUUUGCAGGAGACGAGCAAAAUUUCCCAGACUGCUGCCUCCUCCAGGAAUGCUGCCUGUUAAUUAUUAUUAAUGACUCCCUGCGACUUUUACUAUUACCAAUACUAAUUAAUUGGGUUAUUGCUACCAUUUCUCUCGGAGGUGUUUGGGGGUGGCACGUCCAAAAAAACAGGCUCGGCUUUCAAUAUGGAAAAAGGACAAGAGGGAGCUCACUCCGUGCUCUUUGGGGGGCACAAGGCAGCAGAGGUGAGCAGCCCUUAGCCCUGGCACUCCUUAGCUGGUUCUCCUUAACUUAUUCUCCCUGUGUCUGGAUGAGCAGCCAGUCUCUCCAAGCAGUCAGCCAGGAAGCUACCCAAAGGCAAAGGCCAGGAGAAGACAGACAGCAACCUCCACCACGGCACGCCUUUGUCCCCAGAUCCUGGUCUCAUCAUCGCACUCCAUCACGGAGCAGAUAACAAAGCUGCCCAUCACAGCAGAUCUUCCUGGCCCUGGGCUCGGGGUGAGCCGGGCUCCUCUGUGGUGAGACCUGUCAUUAAACGUAUGGCACAGCCCCAAUUUACCAAAAAUAUCCCUGAAGAAUGGAAAAGAGGAGAGGCGCGUGUGCAGGCAUGCUUGCGUGCAUGCGUGUCCACAAAGCCAUUUGCUGUUUAGGUGUCAGAAAUAAAUUUUACCACUGGAGUCUGCA
rnacentral:lncRNA from 1 species